CCUACGGGAGGCAGCAGUGAGGAAUAUUGGUCAAUGGACGGGAGCCUGAACCAGCCAAGUCGCGUGAAGGAUGACUGCCCUAUGGGUUGUAAACUUCUUUUAUAUGGGAAUAAAACAGGGUAUGCAUACCCUCUUGUAUGUACCAUACGAAUAAGGAUCGGCUAACUCCGUGCCAGCAGCCGCGGUAAUACGGAGGAUCCGAGCGUUACCCGGAUUUAUUGGGUUUAAAGGGAGCGUAGGUGGAUUGUUAAGUCAGUGGUGAAAGUUUGCGGCUUAACCGUAGAAUUGCAGUUGAAACUGGGAGGCUUGAGUACGGUAGAGGUGGGCGGAAUUCGUGGUGUAGCGGUGAAAUGCUUAGAUAUCGCGAAGAACUCCGAUUGCGAAGGCAGCUCACUGGAGUGCGACUGACGCUGAUGCUCGAAAGUGUGGGUAUCAAACAGGAUUAGAUACCCGAGUAGUC
rnacentral:rRNA from 1 species